CCUACGGGCGGCAGCAGUGAGGAAUAUUGGUCAAUGGCCGUAAGGCUGAACCAGCCAAGUAGCGUGAGGGAAGACUGCCCUAUGGGUUGUAAACCUCUUUUAUGCGGGGAUAAAGGUGUCCACGUGUGGAUGUUUGCAGGUACCGCAUGAAUAAGGACCGGCUAAUUCCGUGCCAGCAGCCGCGGUAAUACGGAAGGUCCGGGCGUUAUCCGGAUUUAUUGGGUUUAAAGGGUGCGCAGGCGGUCUGUUAAGUCAGCGGUCAAAGCCCGGGGCUCAACCCCGGCCCGCCGUUGAAACUGGCAGUCUCGAGUUGGAGAGAAGUAUGCGGAAUGCGCGGUGUAGCGGUGAAAUGCAUAGAUAUCGCGCAGAACUCCGAUUGCGAAGGCAGCAUGCCGGCUCCACACUGACGCUGAGGCACGAAAGCGUGGGUAUCGAACAGGAUUAGAUACCCUUGUAGUC
rnacentral:rRNA from 1 species